CUAUAAAUUACUUGUAUGUUGUUAAAAUGCAGAUUCUGACUUGGUUGGUGUGGGUGGAGCCCAAGAGUCUGUGUUUCUAACUAGUCCCAAUGUGAUAUGAUC
rnacentral:pre_miRNA from 1 species